rnacentral:rRNA from 1 species
AGCAGCCGCGGUAAUUCCAGCUCCAAUAGCGUAUAUUAAAGUUGUUGCAGUUAAAAAGCUCGUAGUUGAAUUUUGGAUUCUUCCAAUUGGUCGAUCUUUUAGAUGAGUACUGGUUGUGUGGGGUCUAUCCGCCUGGUGAUACGUAAUGUCCUUUAUUGGAUGUUGCGGGUAGUCAGGACCUUUACCUUGAAAAAUUAGAGUGUUUAAAGCAGGCUUAUGCCGGAAUACAUUAGCAUGGAAUAAUAGAAUAGGACGAAGUUGUUUUAUUUUGUUGGUUUCUAGGACAACCGUAAUGAUUAAUAGGGAUAGUUGGGGGCAUUAGUAUUCAAUUGUCAGAGGUGAAAUUCUUGGAUUUAUUGAAGACUAACUACUGCGAAAGCAUUUGCCAAGGAUGUUUUCAUUAAUCAAGAACGAAAGUUAGGGGAUCGAAGACGAUCAGAUACCGUCGUAGUCUUAACCAUAAACUAUGCCGACUAGGGAUCGGGCGAUGUUGUUUUCCAUGACUCGCUCGGCACCUUAU